rnacentral:sRNA from 1 species
CUUCCCCAUCUCUCCCCCGGGCCUGCUGGUUUUGGGGGGGAGAAGGAGAGAGGGGACUCUGGACGUGCCAGGGUCAGAUCUCGCCUCCGAGGAAGGUGCAGCUGAACCUGGUGUUUUAGAGGAUACCUUGGUCCCAGAGUCAUCAUGAAGGUAAGAUUGCCUGCGGAAAACGAAUCUCUGAGGUUAUCGAAUUCAGGAAGUAGGAGGUUUGGACGAGGUCGUCGUGUGGGGCUUCCGAGUUUUGCAGAGGAAGGUGUGUUUGGUGACUUGGUG